GGUCAUGGCUCAGUGACAGAGUAUCGGCCUCGCAUGCAGAAGGUCCCGGUUCAAUCCCAGGCAUCUCCA
rnacentral:tRNA from 1 species